rnacentral:rRNA from 1 species
CCUACGGGGGGCUGCAGUCGAGAAUCUUCGGCAAUGGGCGAAAGCCUGACCGAGCGACGCCGCGUGGAGGAAGAAGGCCUUCGGGUUGUAAACUCCUGUUGGGGGGAAUCAAUCAAUGAGAGAACCCCUGAGGAAGCAAGGGCUAAGUUCGUGCCAGCAGCCGCGGUAAGACGAACCGUGCAAACGUUAUUCGGAAUCAUUGGGCUUAAAGAGCGCGUAGGCGGCGUCGUAAGUUAGAGGUGAAAUCCCAUCGGCUCAACCGUGGAAGUGCCCCUAAUACUGCGAUGCUCGAGGGAGGUAGGGGCAUGUGGAACUUCCAGUGGAGCGGUGAAAUGUGUUGAGAUUGGAAGGAACGCCAGUGGCGAAAGCGACGUGCUGGAUCUCUUCUGACGCUGAGGCGCGAAAGCUAGGGUAGCGAACGGGAUUAGAUACCCUAGUAGUC